GACGAACGCUGGCGGCGUGCUUAACACAUGCAAGUCGAACGGAAAGGCCUGCUUUCCCUUGUGGAUUGCGGGUACUCGAGUGGCGAACGGGUGAGUAACACGUGAGUGAUCUGCCCCCAACUUGGGUAUAAGCCUGGGAAACUGGGUCUAAUUCCCGAUAGGACUGCAGGGUGGUGCCUGUGGUGGAAAACGAUUUUCUAGUGGUUGGGGAUGAGCUCGCGGCCUAUCAGCUUGUUGGUGGGGUAAUGGCCUACCAAGGCGGCGACGGGUAGCCGGCCUGGGAGGGCGGACGGGCACAUUGGGACUGGGAUACGGACCAGAGUCCUACGGGAGGCAGCAGUGGGGAAUAUUGCACAAUGGGCGGAAGCCUGAUGGAGGGACGCGGCGUGGAGGAUGACGGCUUUCGGGUUGUAAACUCCUUUCGACCGCGAGGAAGCCACCUGGUUGGAAGGGUGGUGAGGGUAGUGGUAGAAGAAGCACCGGUGAACUACGU
rnacentral:rRNA from 1 species